CCUACGGGAGGCAGCAGUGAGGAAUAUUGGUCAAUGGCCGGAAGGCUGAACCAGCCAAGUCGCGUGAGGGACGACUGCCCUAUGGGUUGUAAACCUCUUUUAUAAGGGAAGAAUAAAUGCUACGUGUAGCAUGAUGCCUGUACCUUAUGAAUAAGCAUCGGCUAACUCCGUGCCAGCCGCCGCGGUAAUACGGAGGAUGCGAGCGUUAUCCGGAUUUAGUGGGUUGAAAGGGUGCGUAGGCGGUUUUUUAAGUUAGUGGUUAAACGUCGGGGCUUCACCUUGAUUUGCCAUUAAUACUGUAAGACUCGAGUUCAGACGAGGUAGGCGGAAUAAGUUAAGUAGCGGUGAAAUGCUUAGAUAUAACUUAGAACUCCGAUAGCGAAGGUAGCUUACCAGACUGCGACUGACGCUGAAGCACGAGAGCGUGGGUAGCGAACAGGAUUAGAUACCCUGGUAGUC
rnacentral:rRNA from 1 species